rnacentral:lncRNA from 1 species
GUUCAGUUUUUUACUCAAAGUUGAAUUUUCCGGUCCACACGGUUCUUUUCGGUUUUUUUUCAUACGGUUCGAUUCGGUUUUGCGAUUUAGCGGUUUUAUGCCCACCCCUAAACAAAAGGAUCCAAAACAAUGGACAAUAUUAUUCUUCUGUUGAAUUUUAAUUUCUUCUUUUUUACCUACUAGAUUUGUCACAUUUUGUGUUUUGUUUUAAUUUCAGUUGCAUUUCAAACGUUAUGUAAUUAAUAUCACAAUGUUUAAUUAUUUGAGUUACUAACCCUUCUUUGUGAAAAAGUGACAAAAUUACUUUGCUUAAAAUGAAAAUGCUAUUCUUACUAUCUAUUUAUAACAUGAUUUGUAUCAAAUAUCUAAUAGAGAUGAAGUCCACGUAUGUUGUGAAUCCUAUCUCUAUUAGAGGAAUGAUACAAAUAAUGCUACAAAUAAAUGAUAAGUGUAAUACAACCACAACAAGUGGCUUAGUUGUAAGAGCCUGGAUUGCGGUUCUCUAAUAAACAAAAAAAUAUUGGAGGUCCCAGAUUCAAUGUUCCGAGCUGGUGAAUCUGAUAAGUGAAAUACUUUGCUUAAAAUGACAAUUAACAUUUUUUUUAAAGAAGAGAGAAGAAACAUUUUGAAUCAUAUAUAUCACGUGCUUAAUUAUCCCAAAUGCCUUAUUAUUAUUGAGCUCUGGAUUAAGCUAAUGGCAGAUGCCACGUCGCUCUUUGGGCUCUUUUUGUUGUUUUUAUCCACACCAGGUUUUGAUUUAAAAUUAAUCAAGAAAUGGACAUAUUAAUCUAGUUACAUAGUCUCCAAGGGACAUGUGUCACCCUCUUGUUCAUGCUCUAGCCUAUACAAAGCCUCCCCAUACAUUUUGUCCACUAAAACUAAUCAAAACUUUGGACAACAAGUAUAUUCCCAUAGUUGAGCCCAUCAUAGCAUCUAGUUAGUGACAAUGUCUUUUGUUGAUGCACAAAAUCAGUGGGGACUUUGGUACAACAGAAAAUGUUAAGUUUGAGACUUUCGCUAGAUUGCUCCGGUCAUUAGUGUGGAUAAGUAUGUAAAUGGAUAGAGACAUGGAAGCAAACACAAGAUGUACGUGGUUUACCCAGAUUGGCUACGUCCACGG